rnacentral:rRNA from 1 species
GACGAACGCUGGCGGCGUGCUUAACACAUGCAAGUCGAACGGAAAGGCCCUGCUUUUGUGGGGUGCUCGAGUGGCGAACGGGUGAGUAACACGUGAGUAACCUGCCCUUGACUUUGGGAUAACUUCAGGAAACUGGGGCUAAUACCGGAUAGGAGCUCCUGCUGCAUGGUGGGGGUUGGAAAGUUUCGGCGGUUGGGGAUGGACUCGCGGCUUAUCAGCUUGUUGGUGGGGUAGUGGCUUACCAAGGCUUUGACGGGUAGCCGGCCUGAGAGGGUGACCGGCCACAUUGGGACUGAGAUACGGCGCAGACUCCUACGGGAGGCAGUAGUGGGGAAUAUUGCACAAUGGGCGGAAGCCUGAUGCAGCAACGCCGCGUGCGGGAUGACGGCCUUCGGGUUGUAAACCGCUUUCGCCUGUGACGAAGCGUGAGUGACGGUAAUGGGUAAAGAAGCACCGGCUAACUACGUG